rnacentral:lncRNA from 1 species
AGAUGAGGAAACUGAGGCCCAGAGGUUACUCACUUUCCAGUUAAGGGUCUCAGGGCACUUUUAUCACAUGUGUCCUGAUCCAUGAAUUCAGAAACAGAGGGGCGGAGUGACCAGUUUCUCAUCCUUGAUAGAGCUGAGAAUAGAACCCCAGACUACCUGAUUCCCAGCCUACCUGGAGCUCCACCUCUUGCCACUUCAUGGGGAAAACCCACAAUAAACCAGUGAGAGGAGUUCAAGCCAAGCUCUCUGGAUUGCAUCCUGCGAAGUCUAAACCGGGUAGCGCCAAAGAGCCAGGUGUGUGAGCCAUAAGCACCCAUUUCUGGAGGCUGGCAGUGGGGGUGGGGAGUGGGGUGUGGAGUCUAUGGGCAAGGGAGCCCUCCCUUCCCUCCCCCAAAAAAGAAAGGGAGAGGGGUUUAAAAUAAAUCAAUUAAUUAAAUGCACGGGCUUUUUAUAAAUAGCUCCAGCUCCGGCAUAUUUGUAAAUUCAGUGGGGUUUUUUGUGUCAAUGACAUCACCAUUCUCCCCAUGGCAACUCCCGACGAUAUCGAAAUUGCCAAGCAACGUUGGAGAAGAUUCGGUGCCCCCCAAACGAGCCCGAUGAUUUAAUUGAGAGAGCCAAGGGUGCCUGGGUGUUCUGGGGAAGCAUGGGGAGAGCCGCGAUGGGGACUCUGGCAGGCGGCAGUUUUCGUCGGCUGGAGAUCCUUGGAUGUCUGAGACGAGGGCUUUGUGGAGCCUUGGCUCUUCAGCCGCUGUCCCUUUUUUAAGUCAAAAGCGGGAAGGAGAAGGAGGGAGGCUGGGGGGAGGUGGGGGGCAGGGCGUUCUCUUUCUCAUCCCUAACAUGCAAUCCAGGUGACUAAGCAAGGGAACGGGGACUGACUCACGCCUAGGUUAUGUGCCUCCGUUUUUUAUUCUUAAUUCGAUUUGAUUUUUUCGCUUGGGAAACUUGGAGCGAUUAUCUCAGCUCUCCCCUUCUUCCCGCCCUCCUUCCCCCUUGGGUACUAAGAGGAUGCGAUAACCAGUGGGGCUCUUCUGGGCCAGUGGUUCCUGACGUGCUGUGUGGCCCUGAGGUGUCUCUGGUCAGAGGAGAACAAGCAGGGAGGGCUGUUUCCUGGGUUGUAGACAUGCAGCAGCCUGCAGACAGAGAGCUGUAAGAGCCCCAGCUGCUGAGAAAGGAAGGAGCCAAGAGAACCCGACCGGACAGUGUCCCAGGUAAGCUUUCCUCCAGGAACCUGGCAUGGCAGAAGUCACAGUGGUCCAGCCUCCUCCACAUCUAG